rnacentral:rRNA from 1 species
UACGAACCGUCCAAACGUUACUCGGAAUCACUGGGCUUAAAGGGUGCGUAGGCUGCGCGGAGGGUGGGAUGUGAAAUCCCCCGGCUCAACCGGGGAAUAGCGUCCCAAACCGCCGUGCUCGAGGGAGACAGAGGUGAGCGGAACUGAUGGUGGAGCGGUGAAAUGCGUUGAUAUCGAUCAGGACACCAGUGGCGAAGGCGGCUCACUGGGUC